UACGUAGGGGGCAAGCGUUGUCCGGAAUUAUUGGGCGUAAAGAGCGUGUAGGCGGUCCGGUAAGUCAGCUGUGAAAGUCAAGGGCUCAACCCUUGAAUGCCGGUUGAUACUGUCGGGCUAGAGUCCGGAAGAGGCGAGUGGAAUUCCCGGUGUAGCGGUGAAAUGCGCAGAUAUCGGGAGGAACACCAAUGGCGAAGGCAGCUCGCUGGGACGGUACCGACGCUGAGGCACGAAAGCGUGGGGAGCAAACAGG
rnacentral:rRNA from 1 species